CUUCUUUGAAUUUACUUUCAUGAGAUAGAAAAAAUGAAUUUUUUUUUAAUAUAUUCUAGUGCUGGAUUUUUUGUUGAUAAAAUCUUUAUUAGUUUCUGGCUCCUAAUUUCUAUUAGAAGAGCUUGUUGAAUUCUGGGAGAUAUACAUAUAUAUCUAUAUAUAUCAGAUAAAAUAUCCUUAAGGAUAGUGUCUAACACGUCUCAAAUUUUAAUAAAAAAAAAGAUAUUUUUCGUAAAUUUUUCAAUCAAUAUAAC
rnacentral:lncRNA from 1 species